AGUAUUAUCAGUUUGUGCAUAAAUAUGAAAAAAUAUUCUCCGAUCAAGGGGAAUUCCUUCAUUCCACUUCCAAAGUUUAUAGAAAAGAAAAAAGCAUGUGUUAAUGUUCGUAAUAAUGACAAUCAGUGUUUCAAGUAUGCUAUACUUUCAGCAUUGCAUCCCAGUGAAACUAAUCCCAAUAAAGUUAAUCAAUAUCGUUUGUAUGAGAACGAGCUGAACUUUGGUGAUAUAGAAUUUUCAGUCAAACUCAAAGAUGUUCCGAAAUUCGAAAAAUUAAAUAAUAUUUCAAUAAAUGUAUACAUAUUGAAAAAGUAUAAUGCUAAGUUUGAAGUAUCACCUUGUCAUAUUACGAAAGAUAAGAAAGAAAAACAUGUCAAUCUACCCCUCAUUCAAGAUUUUUACAUAGAUGAGAAUGAAGAAAAUAAUCACAACGUUGACGGAAGCUUGCCUAAAUACCAUUAUGUUUGGAUAAAAUAUCUGUCUCGACUUUUAAGUACUCAAUUGAGUAAAUCUCAUGUAAAAUCUUACCACUGCGAAAGGUGUUUACAAAUAUUUUACUGUGAAGAAAGACUGGAAAUGCAUGAAAAUGAUUGCAAAAAUGUAAAUAAAUGUCGAAUUAAUCUGCCCGACUCUAAGAAUAACAUUCUUAAAUUUGAAGAUUAUAAUAAAAGUGAAAAAGUUUCUUUUGUUAUUUACGCAGAUUUUGAAUGUUUGUUAAAGCCUACUGAAAAUGAAAAUGCUUUUCAGCUUCAUGAAGCAUAUAGCAUAGGUUAUUAUAUAAAGUGUAGCUUUGAUGAUAGUUUAUCUAUGUAUAAAUCAUAUAGACAGGAAAAUGAAGAUGAAGAGACACCAGCGAAAUGGUUUGUUCGAGAACUGAAAGUAAUUAGUGAAAAAAUUGAUGAACUACUCAAGAAUCCGAAUCCAAUGAGACUCACAGAUUUGGAGGAAAUAUCUUUUAGGAUAUCAACAACUUGUCAUAUAUGUCGAAAACCAUUACGUGCUGAAGAACUUGCAGUACGAGACCAUUGUCAUCUCACGGGGCGGUAAGUUGUCUUUUCAAUUAUAUUCGAAAUAUAGUAAAUGAAUUUCCUGAUUCUAAGAUAGAUUUUCUUUUUCAGUUACAGAGGUGCAGCUCAUAAUUCAUGCAACUUGAAUUAUAAUGAUUCAAGAUUCAUUCCUGUGGUUUUUCAUAACCUGAAUUACGAUACUCACUUUAUUUUAAAAGAGAUUGCUACUUCUACGUUGAUGAAAGGACGAGUCACUCUAAUACCUCAUAAUAAGGAAAAAUAUAUUUCAUUUAAGAAGUAUAUAGAUGACUGUGACAUCAGUUUUAGAUUCAUAGAUUCAUGGCGAUUUUUACUGUCAUCAUUGGAGAAACUUGCAUCGUAUCUGGAAAAUGUGCCGAUAGCAGCAAAGAAAUUUCGAUCGGAUGGACUGACAGAUAAAAAAAUAGAUCUCCUUCGACGAAAAGGUGUAUUUCCAUAUGAUUUUGUAGAUGGAUUAGAUAAGUUGACAACUACAAAAUUGCCAGAAAAGAAUGAUUUUUAUAAUAAACCGAUUCUCAUAUUGUUAAAGAAGACUAUAAGCAUGCUGUUCAAGUUUGGAAUAAGUUUAAUAUUUGAACGUUGGGAGAGUAUUCAGAUCUUUAUCUGAAAACUGAUGUUUUACUAUUGGCUGACGUUUUCGAAAGUUUUCGAGAGACAUCUCUGAAAGCGUAUAAUUUAUGUCCAGCACAUUUUUACACAACCACAGGUCUUACAUUUUCAGCAGCUCUAAAAAUGACAAAGGUGGAAUUGGAGCUCCUCACAGAUAUCGAUAUGCUAAUGUUUAUUGAAGCAGACAUUCGAGGAGGAAUAAGUCAAUGCUGCAAUCGGUAUGCUAAGGCGAACAAUCCAUACAUGGGACCAUCAUACGAUAAGAAUCAGAAAACGUAGACACUCUUAUAUUUUGACGUUAAUAAUCUCUAUGGAUGGGCCAUGGUGCAGCAUUUACCGGUUGGAAAAUUCAAAUGGAUUGGAUAUGAAACGAACUCAAACUUUUUCAAUGCGCCACCAGACUCUGAUAUAGGAUACUUCGCUGAAGUAGAUUUAGAGUAUCCUGAAGAAAUGCAUGAUGAUCGUCGAGAUUUGCCUUUUUGUGCAGAGCACCGUACACCUCCUGGCUCAAAGCAGAAGAAACUGCUGACUACUUUGAAUGAUAAAAAAAGGUACGUUAUUCAUUAUCGAGCGUUGAAACAGGUAUUGGAUAAUAGACUUCAACUAAAAAGAGUGCAUAGGAUUUUGAGUUUUGAGCAGAAGCCUUGGCUCAAACCAUAUGUCGAAUUUAAUGUCGAAAAGAGAAGAGAAAGCAGGCCAAGAAUGAGUUUGAAAAGCUUUUUUACAAGUUAUUAAUCAACGCAGUCUAUGGUAAGUGCAUUGAGCGAGAACGAUCUCGCGUUGAUGUGCGAUUAGUGAGUAAAUUUGCAGGUCGAUAUGGAGCAGAAGCACGUAUAGCUCAACCAAAUUUUUAUAGUUGCGCUAUCUUUGAUGAAAAUUUGGUUGCUAUACUGCUAAAGAGAACUAGUAUUACAAUAAAAAAACCAAUAUACGAUGGUCUCAGUAGUCUUGAUUUAUCUAAAACAUUGUUGUACGAUUUUCAUUAUUCAUACAUGAAGAAGCGACUUGGGGAAAAAUGUAAACUCCUUUACACUGACACAUAUAGUCUAAUAUAUGAAGUUGUUGAUGUGGAUAUGUAUCAGAUAAUGAAAGAAGACUUGCACAAAUUUGAUACUUCUGAUUAUGACGAGAACAAUCAAUUUGGAAUUCCACGUGUUAAUAAAAAAGUACCUGGAUUCAUGAAAGAUGAAUGCUGUGGCAAGAUUAUGAUGGAAUUUAUUGGUUUAUGGAGCAAAAUGUAUAGUAUUUUGAUUGAUGGAUCCGAGACAGUGAAAAAAGCCAAAGGUAUAAAAUCAAGUGUUGUGAAGAAAACAAUAACGUUCGAAGAUUAUCGAAAAUGUCUUAAAGAACAAAUUAUUGUCAAACGUGAGCAUUGCAAUAUUCGCUCCAAAUUACACAUUGUGCACACUGAAAAACAGAAUAAAAUUGCACUAAGUCCACAUGAUGAUAAGGGAUUCUUAUUGCCCCAUAGUACGGAUACUUUGCCCUGGGGACAUUACAGAAUUGUGGAAGAACAGAUAGCGCAAGCUGCAAUGCAAGUGGAGGGGAUGGCAGAUGAGAGGGGAUACAGUCAGAACAAAAAAGAGAGGGGGAAUGAAACAACCAAUGACAAUGCAUCGCGGGUGGGGAUGACACUGUACAGCAAUGAAGGUGGACAAAUCGUGAUUGAAUAUGAUAUUUUGGAGGAGUUUAUACACGACUGGGCUCCAUCAUUGGACCAGAUUGGAUCUGAACAAGAGAAGAGAAGGGAUAUAUUACAAGAGGCAAUGGAAGGGGCAGAAAUUGUGGUGGGAAAUGGGCAAUAUGAACAGACGAACGUUGACGAGGAGCACAUUCGAGCAAUCGAAGAGUUCGAGGACAGCCAACCUUGUGCAAAGAAACCAAGACUCAUCUAACUUAUAAAAAUGGAUCUAUCUGCACUUAACAAUGUUGCUGAGCGUGAGUUCUUGCCCAGGAAGAAAUUGAUGGACUUAGAAAAAGAUCAUCAGUACAUGGUGACUGCACUUGAAGAGGUGAAGACAAGAUUCGGUACGAAGGUUGUAGCUGAACUCGAUGAGAGCUUCCAAAUCUUCCUACCAGAGAAGAUUUCAUCAGCCAUCCUAAAAGAUCAAGAGUUUUUCAACCAACUCUCCAACACUGCAAAUAAACUCUGUUUAUUUGUAGUAUAUCAAGGUGGAACUUCUUUUAAGUUUGAAUCUAUUUCUGCUUAAAGCAAAAGAUAAUAAUGAAAAUACACAAAUUGAUUCUUUUUUACAAUCUAUUUAUCAUUUUUAUAUCAAAAUCUUGUACAUAAUAUUAUACAUGAAUAAACAUACAUUAUUAAACAUAA